ACGAACACACCACGUUGAAUCACCGGUUUCCAUACAAUCACCGAAGUUAAGCAACGUCAAACCUGAUCAUUAACUAGAUGGGUGAUCGCUUGGGAAUACCAGGUGUU